UACGUAGGGGGCAAGCGUUGUCCGGAAUUAUUGGGCGUAAAGCGCGCGCAGGCGGCUUUGUAAGUUUGGUGUUUAAUCUCAGAGCUCAACUCUGAUUCGCAUCGAAAACUGCAAGGCUUGAGUACAGAAGAGGAAAGUGGAAUUCCACGUGUAGCGGUGAAAUGCGUAGAGAAUGUGGAGGAACACCAGUGGCGAAGGCGACUUCUGGGCUGUAACUGACGCUGAGGCGCGAAAGCGUGGGGAGCAAACAGG
rnacentral:rRNA from 1 species